CCACCGUUCCCCAUCCCAGAAGCUUAGAGAUCCUGGGGCAUUUUUACCACGCUGAGUUAGCCAUUCGCCGGUCCCUCUCGCCUCAGCGAAGCCUCAGGAGAGUGGAUCUAGGAGGAGGAUCGAUGCUGGGGUAUCCCUCACGCCCCAAAGGAUCCUGACGCGAGGACGAUCUCGAGUGGAAGAUCUAGGAGAUUGAGCACACGCUCGGGACAUUCCGAGAGGAAGACUAGAAACACGACGACCCCUCGGCUUUAGCGCGCACCUGCCUUUCCCUCAAAGGAUGCUGGAGGAAUCGAUUGCGUAUCAGCUCAAAAUACCAUAGAUUAGCGGAC
rnacentral:lncRNA from 1 species